rnacentral:rRNA from 1 species
CCAUGCUUCCAAGAAAAGCAUCUAGAGAGAGAAGUAGUGCCCGUACCGCAAACCGACACAGGUAGAUGAGGAGAGAAUCCUAAGGCCGGCGGAAGAAUUGCAGAUAAGGAACUAGGCAAAUUGACCCCGUAAGUUCGCGAGAAGGGGUGCCUGCGAGAGCAGGCCGCAGAGAAUAGGCCCAAGCAACUGUUAGCAAAAACACAGGUCUCUGCUAAAGCGUAAGCUGAUGUAUAGGGGCUGACGCCUGCCCGGUGCUGGAAGGUUAAGGGGAACACUUAGCGCAAGCGAAGGUGUGAACUUAAGCCCCAGUAAACGGCGGCCGUAACGAUAACGGUCCUAAGGUAGCGAAAUUCCUUGUCAGGUAAGUUCUGACCCGCACGAAUGGCGUAAUGACUUGGGCACUGUCUCAACUGCAAAUCCGGCGAAGUUGUAGUGCGAGUGAAGAUGCUCGCUACCCGCGAUUGGACGGAAAGACCCCGUAGAGCUUUACUGUAGCUUAGCAUUGAAUUCCGGUAUUGUCUGUACAGGAUAGGUGGGAGACUGGGAAACUAGGGCGUCAGCCUUAGUGGAGUCAACCUUGGGAUACCACCCUGACAGUACUGGGGUUCUAUCAGGACGCCAUGAAGCUGGUGACUGGACAUUGUUAGGUGGGCAGUUUGACUGGGGCGGUCGCCUCCUAAAAAGUAACGGAGGCGCCCAAAGGUUCCCUCAGAACGGUCGGAAAUCGUUCGUAGAGUGCAAAGGCAGAAGGGAGCCUGACUGCGAGACCCACAAGUCGAGCAGGGACGAAAGUCGGGCUUAGUGAUCCGGUGGUACCUCGUGGGAGGGCCAUCGCUCAACGGAUAAAAGCUACCUCGGGGAUAACAGGCUGAUCUCCCCCAAGAGUCCACACCGACGGGGAGGUUUGGCACCUCGAUGUCGGCUCGUCGCAUCCUGGGGCUGUAGUAGGUCCCAAGGGUUGGGCUGUUCGCCCAUUAAAGCGGCACGCGAGCUGGGUUCAGAACGUCGUGAGACAGUUCGGUCCCUAUCCGUCGCGGGCGUAGGAAAUUUGAGAGGAGCUGUCCUUAGUACGAGAGGACCGGGAUGGACUGACCUCUGGUGCACCAGUUGUUCUGCCAAGAGCAUGGCUGGGUAGCUAAGUCGGGAAGGGAUAAACGCUGAAAGCAUCUAAGCGUGAAGCCCCCCUCAAGAUGAGAUUUCCCAUAGCAUAAGCUAGUAAGACCCCUUGAAGAACACAAGGUUGAUAGGUCAGAGGUGGAAGUGCGGUAACGUAUGUAGCUGACUGAUACUAAUAGGUCGAGGGCUUGAUC